rnacentral:rRNA from 1 species
AUUGAACGCUGGCGGCAGGCCUAACACAUGCAAGUCGAGCGAGAGGCGUACGGGUGGGUAAUGUCUGGGAAACUGACUGAUGGAGGGGGAUAAAUACUGGAAACUGUAGCUAAUACCGCAUACCAUCAGAUGUACCCAGAUGGGAUUAGGGAGUAGUGGGGGUAAUGGCUCACCUAGGCGACGACCCCUAGCUGGUCUGAGAGGAUGACCAGCCACACUGGAACUGAGACACGGUCCAGACUCCUCCGGGAGGCAGCAGUGGGGAAUAUUGCACAAUGGGCGCAAGCCUGAUGCAGCCAUGCAGCGUGUGUGAAGAAGGCCUUCGGGUUGUAAAGCACUUUCAGCGAGGAGGCGUUACUCGCAGAAGAAGCACCGGCUAACUCCGUGCCAGCAGCCGCGGUAAUAC